CGCGUUUCCCCGUCAGUCUAUCCGGCGUCGCGCGAGCUUUCGGUUGCGGCCGUCGCGGCUCCCUGAGCUUUUCUACCAGUUUCGGUCCGCCUCGAGUCGCCGUACAGAUGCAGUAAAUCCCACGGGGAAAAGCGCCAAUCGUCAAGGAUGCAGCCCCCGUUGCCACACGGAUAUGGUGGUGAGCUACCGGCGGACAGUGGGGGUGUUGUCGAGGGCGGCGCCCAGGUCGACGCCGAGGCCUGCGUGAGCCAGGAGGCCCAUCCUUGUCCAGGUUCUCGUAAACAGCAGCGUAAUCCGCGGCGGCAAGGAGAGGAACGAGAAGCCCAGGAUCAAUGGCAGCUGCCGGCGGAAGAGGACCACGGGCCCCCGAUACAUCGUCGCCAAGAACAACCCGCGGACAUGGUGGCCCAGGAGAUGGCCCAGGGCUACACCCAGCUCCUUCACGACGGGCAGGAGCCUCAGGAGUUCAUAUCCCUCGAGGAACUUAAGCCAAGGCUGCAGGAUCAGGACCGCCAUGGCCGCACUCAAAGCCACAACGAGGUACGGACGGUACCAGCUUCCCCCAACUCAGCUCUCUAUCACCACUCCGGACAGCAGCGGUCCUACUACAAUCUCACCCCGGUUCCAAAGAGUUCUUGCUCCUCGGUGUACUUUGGUGGGACCGACACCGGGGUCGAAGACUUGGCCGUACCUGCAGGAGGCGUUGGACCCGGUGGCGGCGGCGUUCCAAACCCUCAGGGUCCGAUGGGGGCCGAAUCGGGAUCCCGGAUGAAAGCCGAGCAGGGAGAUGCAGCGACCGCCUCCCAUCAUUACCGACAGGCCAGUCAUCAACAUCAUCACCAUCGCCAUCACCACCACCAACAAAGUCAGAAUCAGAGUCCGAAUCACUACAAUUCCGACCACUGUACUCCGCUGCACGUCCAGCCUUUCGAGUCGCCGUCAUCCGUCGACGCAGGGUUUGCCCCGACGAUAAGGAAGCGGAAAAUUUCCUGGAACGAGAGUGGUGAAUUGCAGAACGACACGGGAGAUGACACCAAAUCCAUCAGAACGAACGACGACAGUAAAAGUGAGGGUAGUGAAUUGCAGAACGACAGGGGAGACGACACCAAAAUCGUAAGAAUGCACGACGACAGUAAACGGCAAAAUCAUAGCGAGAUCGAAAAACGUCGACGAGAUAAGAUGAACACUUACAUAACCGAGUUGUCGGCGAUGGUGCCGAUGUGUCACGCGAUGUCGAGGAAAUUGGAUAAGCUGACCAUUCUCAGGAUGGUUGUGCAACAUGUUAAAACUAUCCUGGGCACUGCCGCUCCGUAUACAGAGGGACACUACAAGCCCCCUUUCCUCAGCGAUCAAGAGCUCAAGAUGCUGAUUCUCCAGGCAGCCGAAGGCUUCGUCUUUGUGGUUGGUUGUGACCGGGGCCGGAUCCUUUACGUCUCGGAAUCGGUUUCGCAAACGCUUAACUAUUCUCAAACGACAAUUGCAACUUUACUUGAUACAAAACGCUGGUUCCCGCAGAGUGACUUAAUGGGUCAAAACUGGUUCGACAUCCUGCAUCCCAAGGACGUCGCUAAGGUCAAAGAACAGCUUUCCUCCUCCAAUCUGAGCCCGAGGGAGCGCUUGAUCGACGUUAAGACCAUGCUCCCAGUCAAGACUGACAUACCACACGACGUGUCGAUGCUCUGUCCGGGGGCUCGAAGAUCUUUUUUCUGUCGAAUGAAGCGAAAACUGGAGAACACGCGAUGCGGGGAUCCUAAGGUGAAGGAGGAAGCAGACACGACGACCGGAUGUCAUCGGCGUAAGAAACAGCAGAAUAAUGAUUGUAAGUAUUGCGUCAUUCAGUGCACCGGAUACUUGAAGACUUGGGCUACGGCGAAAAUCGGACUUGAAGAGCAGGAAGGCGAAGGCGACGGAGAAGCGUGCAAUCUUUCCUGCCUCGUUGCGGUAGGUCGAGUUCAACCGCCACUUCCGGCUUUCUCUGCACCCCGAAGACCACAUUUGAGAACGAUACAGUUCGUGUCGCGUCACGCAGUGGAUGGAAUAUUUUUAUCCGUCGAUCAGAGAGUCACACUGGUGCUCGGCUUUCUUCCUCAAGAACUGUUAGGAACGAAUAUUUACGAGUAUUACCACCGCGAUGAUAUUUCGCACCUCGCAGAGUCCCACAAAGCGGCUCUCCAGACACGGGAAAAAGUAACCACGCAGGUGUACAGGUUCAGGAGCAAAGAGGCCACUUUCGUCCGAAUGCAGUCCGAGUUGAAGUCUUUUCGAAAUCCUUGGACGAAAGACGUCGAGUCGCUGAUAGCUAAGAACUCGGCAAUUUUGUAAGUUCCGACGCGAGGCAAGUCGAAAGUAGCGCGGCAAAAUCCGAAGACUCCAACGUUCAGGGAAACUACGAUUAUCUCGCCCAAAGUAACGGUGGAUUAGAAAGACUGAUCCAAAAUCACAUAGAGGUGAGUAAAAUCGG
rnacentral:misc_RNA from 1 species